rnacentral:misc_RNA from 1 species
GUAGGUGAACCUGCGGAAGGAUCAUUAACACGUAUCCACGUAUCAAAACCCCUCUGUGCAAACCCUCUUUGUAAGGCUUUGAUUGGAGUUGUGCUCGCUCGAUCUUAAUGAUGGGAGUUUCGAAAGAGACUCGGGAUCUAUGAGCGGGUAUCAGCGUUUGACAAUCAGCCGCUAUUUUCCCAUCGUUAGCCCCUUUUUUUUAACUUAACCCCUUUGUACUUUUUAUGUACUGAACCAAUUCUUCGAGUUU